rnacentral:rRNA from 1 species
GUCUAUGGCCAGACCACCCUGAACGCGCCGGAUCUCGUCUUAUCUCUGGAAGCUAAGUAGGGUCAGGCCUGGUUAGUACUUAACUGGGAGACCGCCUGGAAAUACCGGGUACUGUAGGCU